rnacentral:rRNA from 1 species
AUUGAACGCUGGCGGCAUGCCUUACACAUGCAAGUCGAACGGCAGCACGGGAGCAAUCCUGGUGGCGAGUGGCGAACGGGUGAGUAAUAUAUCGGAACGUGCCCAGUCGUGGGGGAUAACGCAGCGAAAGCUGUGCUAAUACCGCAUACGAUCUACGGAUGAAAGCGGGGGAUCGCAAGACCUCGCGCGAUUGGAGCGGCCGAUAUCAGAUUAGCUAGUUGGUGAGGUAAAGGCUCACCAAGGCGACGAUCUGUAGCUGGUCUGAGAGGACGACCAGCCACACUGGAAAUGAGACACGGUCCAGACCCCUACGGGAGGCAGCAGUGGGGAAUUUUGGACAAUGGGCGAAAGCCUGAUCCAGCAAUGCCGCGUGCAGGAUGAAGGCCUUCGGGUUGUAAAGCUCUUUAGGCUGGGGGGAAGGUUGGUAGUUUAAGAGAUAAUCAACUUGACUGUACCGGCAGAAUAAGCACCGGCAAACUCUGUGCCAGCAGCCGCCGUAA